AGGGUGGGGGCGCAGUCCUUGUUAGCGGGCUGCGACGGCAUUAUCCUCAAAGCGGGCAAAGGUGUUUUGUUUGUCUGGAAGCGAGACGUCGGUGUCCGUAACGUGGCUGUUUUUCUUUUUGUAGUCUGUGAUUUCCCGUAGACCCUGCCAUGUAUUGGAAUAAAUGACCAAACUAUAAAACUAGCUAGCCAGCUAUGGGUAACUGUAGCUAGCUACCUGACAGGAGUGCUAGUUAGAUACGUUAGCUUACUAGGUACAUUAAUAGCUUUAGGUUGGUUGUUUUUAAGCUCAACUUCAAGAUUUCCACCAAGGACGUUGCGUCUCCGAUCAUCACUCUCUCUCGCUUAGGCAAGGGACAUGUAAGGUACACUCGGAUGUGACAAUGUAAAAUGUAAUUCAAGGGUUGAGGGUUUAGGGCCAAUGCCUGCGUUUCAAACUCAAAGUAGACAGCCCUUGAGCCCUCAGCCCUCAGGGGAAUCCCCGCGGACAUAUUUGUCAUCAGUAGAAAAUGUAUUUUUAUUUGAUUGAACUCUUAUUUUACCAUGGAUAGUUGACUGAGAACACAUUCUCAUUUACAGUAACGACCUGGGGAAUAGUUACAGGGGAGAGGAUGGGGAAUGAAUGACCCAAUUGUAAACUGGGGAUGAUUAUGUGACCAUGAUUAGCCAAGCAAGGGAAGUUUGCAACGUAAGCCCCUUUAGCCCUCGUUUUUAAUAGAGUUUGCGAGUACACAAUUAUGUUCACUUCGGGGCCUGAAACGCCCCAUAAUUCAAUUUGUGAUGAUUGUACAUCCCCCUAAAAAGAUUCUGCCAAAACGUAAAACCUCAAUGCCAAUAUGGAGUCAACAUACAAGUGUAAGUAAAAACGAAUGUAAAUAAGUUAGAAAUUGCGCUACUAAUGCACAAACACGUCUCAUAAAAGUAAUUAUGUUUUUGUUUGGUUAGCUUUUGGAAAGUGUAGAAAUAAAACAUUGUCCUUCAGAAGUAGCUAGACAGGCUAACUUUAUUUAGCUAAUUAAUUUGCUAGCUAUCAUACAUUAUACUCAUAUUAAUAAUUAUAUAGUUAAUAUAAGCAGACAUGCAAUCAUAAUUGACUGUAGAGUAUAUAAUGCACCCACAAGCUUCCGGUGGCUGAAAAAAACAAUCAUCGCGGGAUGAACGAGUGACAAAUCUCCUGGCAAGAGCGGUCCAUUUAAAAAUCAUUCCUUCGUCCAUCGCCCCUUACCCUGCAAGUGUAUACUCGUCAGACGUUAUGGAACGUCACCAGAAGUGUUCACUUCAUUUGAGGGCUGAGGGGAUUGGGUGUGUCAUUUAAGUGUUUGGAAUGCUGCCAGUGUUUCUUGUUUCUGUUGUUCUCGGUCAGUUUUUCACUUCUUAACCACGUCCGUCAACAAUCACCCACAACGAAGAUGGCGGCUUGCAAGGAGACGAGACGUAACUGGACAAUUCACUGUGCAUUUGCUGUGUUUAUCUUGUUAGAACUAUUUCCUCUCAACUGUAUUUCGGCACCGCUGGAACCCGAAAACGAUACAGUUGAGGUUCAACCACCUCUGAAUCCAAGAGUUGUUGGUUUGGAUCACUCCUUGCCUUUGGCAACCGUCAGCACUGGUACAACAGACAGCAAGGCAGACACCGCAACCAAUGACAAAGCUAGAACAUCUAUCGAUGUUGAUAAAACAGCAGUCAUUAAGGCUGUAACAUCAGACCUAAAGGAUGCUGCUGCUACACCCAAUGAGAGUGCUACGCCUAUCAAAGACGCUACCACACCCAUCAAGGAUGCUACCACACCUUUAGAAGACGCUACCACACCCAUCAAGGAUGCUACCACACCUUUAGAAGACGCUACCACACCCAUCAAGGAUGCACCCAUUGAUGGUGUUACAGCAUAUGUCGCACUGGCCACCAAAGGGGAGGUUAUAGCUGAAUCCCCUGCCAUUAUUAAUAAAACAACUGAUGGCAAGGAAGCAGGACGGGCUACUCAAGAACUACUUCCCAAUCCCACUGAUGCAAAUGCUGCUGCCACCUUUACCAUGGCUGCAGAUCCAGCCAUCAGCACCAUCACAUCCAAGCCCACCCUGGAGAAACCAAGCUCUGCCUCCAACACCAAGCUUGUCGGUCACAUGAACCCUACAGAAGAUGAUCAAGAGGACAAUCUAGAGUCCCAGGCAGAGACUGACGUGUACGACAGAGAAAAUGACGACGACGUCGAUGACGGCGACUAUGACCUGGGGCCAGCAGUUAAGGCUCUGAACUUCGACGAGGAGGAUGACAUCAUGGUGGACGCAGACAAUGAACCGGUGGUGCUCAGACCAGCAGAGAAUGCUGGGAAGAUAGACGUGCGUAUGAAGGACACCAACAUCUACACCAUCCAGGAUGAGGACUCGCACUUCUUCUUCCACUUGGUCAUCCUGGCCUUCCUGGUGGCCAUCGUAUACAUCACCUACCACAACAAGAGGAAGAUCUUCCUCCUGGCCCAGAGUCGGCGCUGGAGGGACGGCCUGUGCUCUCGCAACAAUGUGGAGUACCAUCGGCUGGACCAGAAUGUCAACGACGCCAUGCCUUCCCUCAAGAUGACUCAAGAUUACAUUUUCUGAGCUGAGAAGGAAGGCAAAAGACUGACCUGAAUUGAACAAACCUGUUUCCGGCUGCAUUGUUGACAUGCUCGCUUGCCCACAAGCUUGCCCCACUUCCUCUUGCUUCAGGACAAUCCUGGACAGGAGGGAGUUUGAUGGUACUUCAUCUCUGUAAUCGAUAACCUACACGUUUUCAAUGUUCAUCCAAAUUACACACACAGAACAUUUGGAUGAAUAGAUUGCCAGAAUCAAUAUCAAGAUAAAUAUGUUGUGAUACUUUGCUUGUUAGUAACUAGUUUGCCUAGCAAUGAAGGAAGGCUAUUUGUAGUUAUUAGCCACAAAGCAUUUGUAGUUGUAGAAGUUAAUAUUGUAGGAAUACAGUAUACUACACCAGUGUUUCCCAAAUCCUGUCCUCCAGUACGCCCCCAAAACACAUUUUUGUUGUGGCCCCGGACAAGCACACCUGGUUUCUACUUGGGGGGGACUGGAGUUGGAAAACUAUACUACAAUUAUAGACCUUAAUAAAAAAUGCAGAUUAUUUUUUUUUUUUACAGCAAUACUGACAAUGAUUUAUGUUGUGGUUCUUACGCUAAAUCCAUCCUCCCUUGACUUUUGUAGACAUGUGUGAACACACCACCACAUUGAUAUGGUGGCAGUUAUUCCUUGUAAUUGUAUUUUUCCAUAAUCUGGCAUUGUACUGGUCUUAACACUUUGCUCAGAUUGCUAUACACUUAUCCCAGGACUGGUCCUCCUUUCUAUUUGUUCGGUCCUUCAUUCUUCUCUUUUUAUCAGAAAUCUGCACUCUUCAUGUGGCCUAAUGUGCAUGUAAAGCACCACUUGGACACUGAUUACCUUAGAUCAAUCAGCUCUCUGUCCCCGCUCUGGGGGCUUGUACAUCCCAAAUGGCACCCUAUUCCUUAUGUAGUGCACUACUUUUGACCAGGGCCCUAUGGCUUUGGUCAAAAGUAGUGCACUGUGUAGGGAAUGGGUUACCAUUUGGGACGUAAACUCAGUCUGGAGAAAACGAUAACCACCGUUGCUCACUCGUCAUUACCUUAACGAGCCUUCAGUUCUAAUGCCAUUAUCUUGUGACAUGAAUCGAGAAUUAUCAAUUCUCAUGCACUUGUCAAUCGCUGUUAAAUUUCCACUGUCUUUUCAGUACAGAGAAGAAGCAUUAGCCUGAGUGCCAGUCUGUUUAUGGUAACGUGCCAACUUGUCACUCAUUGUCAUGACGAGCAUGUUUGCCUUGACAAUGAGCGAUGGCAUUGGAAAGGGCACAAAGGCUGCGUCUACACAAGCAGCCUAAUUCUGAUAUUUUUUCCACUAAUUGGUCUUUACACCAAUUACAUCAGAUCUAUUUCAGAGCUGAUCUGAUAUGUUAAAAGGCCAAUUUAAUCAACAAAAUAUCAGAUUUGGGCUUCCUGUGUAAACAGCCUAAAUCUGGGACGAGGCUAAAACAUUGUAAAUAGGUGGUGGAUUUCAGCUCUGCCAGGAGCUGUGCGCACUCUGGUGUCACGACAAUCGCUAAAGCAUGAGAUGGAGAUGUCAUGCAUGGAACAGAUACGGUGUUGUGUAGCUUUCAUAUAGCAUGUGGUGGAUGAACACUGUUUUUGCAAUCAACUGUAGAGAUUCUAUAAAGCACUAAUACAUA